GAGAUGCUCAAAAACCAGAAAGAUGCCAUGGAAGAUUCUGUUGAGAUUGUGAUUGAGAAGCUGCUUCAUGUUAUGAAGGAUUCUGUUCCAAAAGUUUCUAAUGAAGCGGAGCAUUGCCUGAGCAUUGUGUUGUCUCAGUAUGAUCCAUUCAGAUGCUUAAGUGUGGUUGUCCCUUUAUUGGUCACUGAGGAUGAGAAAACUCUUGUUACAUGCAUUAACUGUUUGACAAAGCUCGUGGGCCGGCUUUCUCAAGAGGAGCUAAUGACCCAGUUACCAUCAUUUCUGCCUGCUCUUUUUGAAGCUUUUGGAAACCAGAGUGCAGAUGUUCGCAAGACUGUUGUUUUCUGCCUGGUGGAUAUUUAUAUUAUGCUUGGGAAAGCAUUUUUGCCAUACUUGGAGGGGCUUAACAGCACACAGCUGCGGUUGGUGACCAUAUAUGCUAAUCGGAUAUCACAGGCGAGAACAGGUACCACCAUAGAUGCCGGCCAUGAGUAGCACUGGUUUGUUGAGGUUGUAAUUGUGGGUUUUGGGUGUCUGCCUAUAUUCAUUGUUGUGUAUUUUGUAUAUUUCUGUGAAUGCAUUGAGUGGUUCUUUUUUGUCUUGUGCUUUUUCUUCUUAGAUAUUUAAUUUCGUAUUUUGUUUUAUCUAAGAAGAAAAAG
rnacentral:misc_RNA from 1 species